rnacentral:rRNA from 1 species
CAAUAGCGUAUAUUAAAGUUGUUGCGGUUAAAAAGCUCGUAGUUGGAUUUCUGCCGAGGACGACCGGUCCGCCCUCCGGGUGAGUAUCUGGUUUGGCCUGGGCAUCUUCUUGGAGAACGUAGCUGCACUUGACUGUGUGGUGCGGUGUCCAGGACUUUUACUUUGAGGAAAUUAGAGUGUUUCAAGCAGGCACACGCCUUGAAUACAUUAGCAUGGAAUAAUAAGAUAGGACCUCGGUUCUAUUUUGUUGGUUUCUAGAGCUGAGGUAAUGAUUAAUAGGGAUAGUUGGGGGCAUUCGUAUUUAACUGGCAGAGGUGAAAUUCUUGGAUUUGUUAAAGACGGACUACUGCGAAAGCAUUUGCCAAGGAUGUUUUCAUUGA